rnacentral:misc_RNA from 1 species
ACUAUAGUAUAUCUCUCUGGUUGGAGAAUAUUCACAUUAGUACCUCACUGAAAACACAGUAUUUUAAGGGUAAAAUAAUCUACUAAGCACUUUACAGCAGCUAGUUCAAAGUCUAUCCAUAAUUUGUUCACAUUCACUGUUAAACCCUGAAACACAAACUCUGUUGGAGCAUACAGUGCUAUAUAGUAUAUAUAUCUGGUUGGAGACUAUUCACAUUAGUACCUCACUGAAAACACAGAAUUUUAAGGAGUCUUAAAGUCUGAUGUGGUGACUCACACACAGUGAACAAGUCAAAGAGGCUGUCUGUUAUCAAAUAUGGCAGUAUCAUCAGUCUGUCAAUAUGACAUUUAUGUCAUAGGUGAUAGUGCUGAGUGGGAGAAUACAACAAUACUUGAGUUGCAGAGAAAGAGACCAGGAAUACAGUGUAUUAGCAGAAAUGAUUGGAUUCCUGGAAAAUACAAACUUGACAAUUUGGUUAAACCAGUGAGUACUUGCAAAAUAGUGGUGGUAGGGUUUACCGCAUCAUCAUCAACUGGCAGUUCAAAUUAUCUGGCACAAAGUGUUUUUCAAGAAUGUUUGGAGAACAAUGAUAUCGAUGAGGGGAAACUUAUUCCUGUGAUGAUAUCAAAAGAUGCUAAGAUACCAGAUUGUCUUAAAUUGUUAACUCCAGCAAAUGGUUGGGAAGAUAAUGUGUAUGAAAAGUUGCUGAAUGCAUUAGAUGGAACAAG